UCGGGGCGGAGUCAGACCCGCGCGGGCGGCCGUUGGCCGGGCUGCGCGUUCUCGAGCCUGCCUAGGGGAGGGUGGCGCGCGCUGCCCCUUGCCGGCCAUCACGCGCUUUAAUCUCAGGUUAGUCUGGUGCCAGUGGAACGGGCCAGCCCCGGCAGGGCCACGCCGUGGAUGGGCCUCAGGCAGUCCCGCGUCGAGGCGGGCGAGAAGCUUAUAUGGAUAAAACUGUGCCUACUAAACAAUGGCAUCUUAUAGUAAAAAAUCCGUGGCAAAUGUGCAGCUCCUCCAUAACAGUGACCACUAAUAAGAGCAGUCUUCUCAACGAAAAUAUACGUAAGAUACUGCAGCCAUCCUGAGCUGGGAAUUCAGUUAUCUCCUUGGACAGCAUAGAUUUCCUCAAUGCCUGAUCCCCUAAGAAAGAUUGCAGGAGCCUAUGGGAGAGAGUGACUGCUGAGAUGCAAGAACUAAGCGAGGGUAUCCCCACCAGAUAUGCAAUGUCCUGGCUUGUUCCACCGUCCUGGCUGAUGAUGCUACUCAAGUAUGUGAAUGUUUCUACACUGGUGAGAACAUGAUCCUCUAUCUGUACUGGUGAUGGGGAGGCAAUAUUAAAGAUGGAGAUGGAUCAGUCAUGUGCUUCGGAUGGAAACUGAUUCCAUUACCAGAGUAGCAACAUGAUGGACACCUGAAGGCAAGUGAAAACGAGGCUGACUGAAAACAACAUGGCGAAGAGCUGUGGAAGCCGAGCUGAAAAACCUGGGGCAUAGCUGGGGAACCGCUGAAAGACUUGCCAGAAA